AUGCUGACCAGGAGGCCUGGAGCCCGGAGCGCGGUGCCAGGACUGGGCGCUGAAUCCUCGGACACCCACGUCAAAGCCCCCCUCAGCCCUCGCUUGAGCGGCGGGCGUCACCGACCUGGCGCCUACCUAGAUAUGAAAAUUCAUUUUGAGAAAAAUUUAGAGGAAGAGCGCCAAAUAUUACUGCAGCAACAAAAAAUAUGUCGAAAUCGAGCACGUAAAUAUUUUGUGGAGUCAAACCGGAGAAAAAAAGCAUUUGAAGAAAAACGAAAAGAACAAGAAGAAAGAGAACAUCAAAUCAGAGAACAGAUACUUCAACAACGAAAACAGAAGGUUGAAGAAGUUACUGAAAAAUUCCAGCGUGCCCAUAUUCCUUUUUCACAGCGGAAGAGAACAGUUCUUCAAAGACCAGUUCUUCCAUUAGAAGAUGCCCUCAAACAAAUUCAGGAAUCCAAUCUAAAAUCAGAAGUAAACCUUCCCUCUUCCCACAGACCAAUAAUAAACUGGAGAGCUAUAGAUAAUGACUUGCCUUCAUCACUGUCAAAAAAUGAUCAUAAGCAUCAGAAAUAUCUCAUAUCCAAAAUCGAUUGUGGUCAAGAAAUGGAAAACAGCAAGGCAAACUUGACUACUAACAAAGAUGCAUUCCAGCUUAAACUGGAGGAAACGCAGAAACUCCUAGAAGAUCAGCAUCUAAGCAGUUUGCAAAAAUUUCAUGAUGAAGUUAAUCAGAUAAUAAAUUCUGAAACCCUCUCAAGUGUAGACAGUCUUGAGGCUGGGGAAUGUGAAGAAAUAUAUUUAACACUUAAUAAGGAGCCUUCCACAUCAGUCCAGCAGCAGAAUUCUGUUUCCCUCAAAUCAGCAAAUCUGCAAUCAACUAACCUAAGCUGCUUUGAUGAAGAUAAAAUGUCAUUCUCUAAAACUCAACACAUAAAUAAUUGGCUUAUAAAUAUAGAUGAUCCAAAUAUUUUCUCAGAUAUUUUUAGUAAACCUGAUGUUCUCCCUGAUUCAAGUGAAUGUUUUGAUAGUAAAGAACAAAAUCCAUCUGCUCUGAGUAGAACCGUGGAAAGAGCCAUAAAUACUGCUAAUAAUUCAGUAGCCAUUCUACAUAGUCCAUCCAUAUUUGUACAAGAUAAGAAAAGCAAAAACACAUCUGAAACUAGUGUUAUAAGGACAACUGACUCCUCUUCUGGAACAUUCAAACGGGAGAAACCAUUAGUUACUGAGAGCCCAAAAUUUAAAUUCAGCAAAGCCUGGGCCACUCCAGAUUCUCUAACCCAGGAAAUCACAAUAAUUUCAGACCAAGAGAAAUAUUCUGAAAUGACUCAAGAAAAUAGAACUACUUCAGUUCCUACUUCAUUUGUACCUUUGGCAACCCCUUUAGUUUUGCCAUCGAAUACACAAUCAGCUAGGCCUUUACCAAAGAGCAGUAUACACAUAAAGGAAAUUGACCCAGUGCAGUGUUCUGAUAAGUUAGGGGAAAUAAAAGACAUUAAAGAUGAAAAGACAAAAUAUUUUAAUUGUAAUGAGGAAGAGUUGUCUUUAUUUUCAGAUAAUUUUCAAGUCGCCUGUAUACUUCAUAACUCUGAUUCAAAAGAUAAAAAACAGAAAAUAACUGAAGCAUCAAAAUCAUUAUCUAAUAUAAUUUCUAAUUGUGACUUAGUCAGUCAGCACAAGAAAAUAAAAUACAAUAUUUGUGAGAAGAAUAGUGUGAGAUUUCUUAAAAGUAUUUUAAAGAAAGAAUCUAAAUACGAGCAUGAUUAUUUUAAGGCACUGGUUACAAGCCAAGGCUUUAAGUUAGGAAAUCAAAAAGCAGCAGAUAUCAGAGAUAGUAUUGAAUUAACAAAAGAAAAAGGGAAAAGUGCAGAAACUCCAAAAACUAUUAAAAAACUGAGAUGGUUUGAUGAAACUGGCAAUACAUGGAAAAAUGCUGAAGAUAGUCAUUUGCUGAAGAGUAGAAAAAGAAUAUCUCAACAGUGGUCUCAACCAUUCCACAUUCAAGCUAAAAGUGGUGCUGCCAGCAACAUGCCUAGUAUUCCUGCUUCUGCUGUGGAUUCUGCUAAUAAAAAAGAGCCCAAGGACGAUUUUAUCUCUGAAAAUGUCACUGCUUUAGGAGGAUCUGGAAUAGACCAUGUGCCUUUGAACUGUUUUAUAUCUUCAGGUUAUAACACUGCUAAACAAGCCUGGCCAGACUCCACAGAGGAGGAAAGUAUAUCCCCUGUAAAGAGUGGUGGUUCCAAAACUCAGAAAAGUAGUCCACAAAGGAGUGAAGUGAAAGUCAGAAGAACAAGAUCCGCUAAAGUCCAGUCAGGCUUUGUAUGUAUGAACAGAAAAGGCACUGUUAUUCGACCACAGUCUGCGAGCAAAGCCAACACAUUUGCACAAGCUCAGGGUAAAUUAAUUGUACCUCAUCCUCCUCCUACAUCUCAAUUAAAUAUUAGAAGUUGUAAAAAUAUACAGGCAUCUCAGUGUCAGCCUGUAAUGCCUGAAAAUUCUCAAAACAUCAGUACAUGUAACUACUUUAAUUCAAAACAUAUGCUUCCAACAGAAUACAAGUUGAAUCAGUGGAAUCAAGAAAGUAGUCUUCCACUCCCUCAUGUCUGUUCUGACUUAGUCACUGUGAUGCCAACUCUACCAUAUUGUUCUUCAGAGUGCCAAACGUUAACGAAAAUAAAUCAUUCACAUGGCAGGCAAACUGUUGCCCCACAAGAUGGGACAUUAUAUUGCCCCCAAAGAUGUCCAACAUAUGAAGAAACUCAUCCCUCUGUGACUCUUAAAACUACUAGAGAAGAACUGGUUCCCUUGUGGAAAAGACAGCAUAAUAUUCUGGGUCAAAAUGAAAAGGCUGCUGAUUCUAGUGUUACAAGAAGAAAACGAAGUGUCAAAAAUAAGCACAAAAGUCUUUUAGAGCAAAAAAGACAAAACCCUGGAUCUGUAGGACAGAAGUACAGUGAGCAGAUGAAUAAUUUUGGACAAAAUAUCCAGCCAAGUUCAAGUGAGCCAAAACAAACUACAAGGGGUACUUCUAAUAUUGAAGAAGUUUCAGGCAGUACUUCUGAAUUUUUGAUGGCUGAAAAUCUAGUGAAAGCUUCAGUGCCUGAGGAUGAGAUUCUAACUGUCAUGAAUAGCAAGCAGCUACAGCAAACAAAUCUGGAUUUAAAUAAAAUGCAGCAAUUUAACAUCUGUGCACUAUCAGCUGAAGAACAAAAGAUCCUGCAGUCCCUUAAUCAUCUCAAUGAAAGAUUAUACUAACAGCCAGCCAAGGACCAGUCCAUCUCCUGAUGUUGGAUCCAGAUCACAGAGAAAAUACUGAUGAGUAUAACAGUAGCUAUUAAAUGGGAUCAUUAUUUUUGAGAAUCUCCUAUAAAUAUAUAUUUAUGUGUUUGUUAAUAAUUAAAAUAAAAUACCAUCAAAUAACA
rnacentral:lncRNA from 1 species